UACAGAGGUCCCAAGCGUUGUUCGGAUUUACUGGGCGUAAAGGGCGCGUAGGCGGCCACUGCAAGUCGGUUGUGAAAUCUCCGGGCUUAACCCGGAAAGGUCAAUCGAUACUGCAGGGCUAGAGUGCAGAAGGGGCAACUGGAAUUCUCGGUGUAGCGGUGAAAUGCGUAGAUAUCGAGAGGAACACCUGCGGCGAAGGCGGGUUGCUGGGCUGACACUGACGCUGAGGCGCGAAAGCCAGGGGAGCAAACGGG
rnacentral:rRNA from 1 species